rnacentral:rRNA from 1 species
CAAUAAGCGGAGGAAAAGAAACCAACAGGGAUUGCCCCAGUAACGGCGAAGUGAAGCGGCAACAGCUCAAAUUUGAAAUCCGGCCCCCGGGCCCGAGUUGUAAUUUGCAGAGGAUGCUUCGGGCGAGGUGCCUUCCGAGUUCCCUGGAACGGGACGCCACAGAGGGUGAGAGCCCCGUCUGGUCGGACACCGAGCCCGUGUGAAGCUCCUUCGAAGAGUCGAGUAGUUUGGGAAUGCUGCUCAAAACGGGAGGUAUAUGUCUUCUAAAGCUAAAUAUUGGCCAGAGACCGAUAGCGCACAAGUAGAGUGAUCGAAAGAUGAAAAGCACUUUGAAAAGAGGGUUAAAAAGUACGUGAAAUUGUUGAAAGGGAAGCGCCCAUGACCAGACUUGGGCCCGGCGAAUCACCCGGCGUUCUCGCCGGUGCACUUUGCCGGGCACAGGCCAGCAUCGGUUCGGCGCGGGGGACAAAGGCUUCGGGAACGUGGCUCCCUCGGGAGUGUUAUAGCCCGCUGCGCAAUGCCCUGCGCCGGACCGAGGUUCGCGCAUCGCAAGGAUGCUGGCGUAAUGGUCAUCAGCGACCCGUCUUGAAACACGGACCAAGGAGUCGUCUUCGUAUGCGAGUGUUCGGGUGUCAAACCCCUACGCGGAAUGAAAGUGAACGCAGGUGAGAGCUUCGGCGCAUCAUCGACCGAUCCUGAUGUUCUCGGACGGAUUUGAGUAGGAGCAUACGGGGCCGGACCCGAAAGAAGGUGAACUAUGCCUGUAUAGGGUGAAGCCAGAGGAAACUUCUGGUGGAAGCUUCGCAGCGGUUUCUGACGUGCGAAUCGAUCGUCAAAUAAUGGGCAUGGGGGGCGAAAGACUAAUCGAACCUUCUAGUAGCUGGUUUCCGC